rnacentral:rRNA from 1 species
UACGUAGGGUGCGAGCGUUUGUCCGGAAUUAUUGGGCGUAAAGAGCUCGUAGGCGGUGUGUCGCGUCGGCCGUGAAACCUGGGCUUAACUCUGGCGUGCGGUCGAUACGGCAUCACUGGAGUUCGGCAGGGGAGACUGGAAUUCCUGGUGGAGCGGUGAAAUGCGUAGAUAUCACUUGGAACGCCAAUGGUGAAGACAGCUCGCUGGGGUGUCCUGACGCUGAGGCGCGAAAGCCAGGGGAGCGAACGGG